rnacentral:rRNA from 1 species
UGCAAGUCGAGCGGUAGCACAGGAGAGCUUUGCUCUCUGGGUGACGAGCGGCGGACGGGUGAGUAAUGUCUGGGAAACUGCCUGAUGGAGGGGGAUAACUACUGGAAACGGUAGCUAAUACCGCAUAACGUCGCAAGACCAAAGAGGGGGACCUUCGGGCCUCUUGCCAUCAGAUGUGCCCAGAUGGGAUUAGCUAGUAGGUGGGGUAAUGGCUCACCUAGGCGACGAUCCCUAGCUGGUCUGAGAGGAUGACCAGCCACACUGGAACUGAGACACGGUCCAGACUCCUACGGGAGGCAGCAGUGGGGAAUAUUGCACAAUGGGCGCAAGCCUGAUGCAGCCAUGCCGCGUGUGUGAAGAAGGCCUUCGGGUUGUAAAGCACUUUCAGCGAGGAGGAAGGUGGUGAGCUUAAUACGCUCAUCAAUUGACGUUACUCGCAGAAGAAGCACCGGCUAACUCCGUGCCAGCAGCCGCGGUAAUACGGAGGGUGCAAGCGUUAAUCGGAAUUACUGGGCGUAAAGCGCACGCAGGCGGUUUGUUAAGUCAGAUGUGAAAUCCCCGGGCUCAACCUGGGAACUGCAUUUGAAACUGGCAAGCUAUAGUCUCGUAG